rnacentral:rRNA from 1 species
UUCCCCCUUCGGGGGGACAGGGUGACAGGUGGUGCAUGGUUGUCGUCAGCUCGUGUCGUGAGAUGUUGGGUUAAGUCCCGCAACGAGCGCAACCCUCGCCUCUAGUUGCCAGCAUUCGGUUGGGCACUCUAGAGGGGACUGCCGGCGACAAGUCGGAGGAAGGUGGGGAUGACGUCAAAUCAUCAUGCCCCUUAUGACCUGGGCUACACACGUGCUACAAUGGGCGGUACAAAGGGCUGCGAACCCGCGAGGGGGAGCGAAUCCCAAAAAGCCGCUCUCAGUUCGGAUUGCAGGCUGCAACUCGCCUGCAUGAAGCCGGAAUCGCUAGUAAUCGCGGAUCAGCAUGCCGCGGUCGAAUACGUUCCCGGGCCUU